rnacentral:tRNA from 1 species
UCCGGUAUGGUGUAGUGGCUAACAUUUCGCGUUUUCAUGGGUGUUCAUUAUCCAGCGCCGCGAGGCCCCGGGUUCAAUUCCCGGUACCGGAA